AAGUCGUAACCAGGUUUCCGUAGGUGAACCUGCGCCUGCGGAAGGAACGGCAAAACCCCCCAAUCUCUGAUAAAUCAUAGCCCGGAAAGUUGUAGUGAUUCAGAGACCUCUGGCUACGUGCGAACAUUGGAACAGUUACAAUCGAGCGGUAGUUCUAUAGGCAAUGUUUCCCCAAGCAGUCAGUGUCGGAAAGUGUCAUUGAUUGUGCAAGGAUAGCGCUUCUACGAUUCCUGUAGACCGUACACUCGGGCAGGAGCUUUGCCAAAGGGUCCCCAUGCCCCCUAAUAACCCCACAGUUUAAUGUGAAGCUCAAUGUAAUACAUUGGGUAAAAAAACCGAACAACUGUUAACAAUGGAUAUCUUGGUUCUC
rnacentral:misc_RNA from 1 species